GAGAUAUUAGUAAAAUAAAUUACAUCACCUUGUCAAGGUGGAAUUGUAGGUUAAACUCCUGCAUAUCUUU
rnacentral:tRNA from 1 species